rnacentral:lncRNA from 1 species
UUCAGCUCGCUCCAAAUGUCAGCAGGAAUAGGAGUAUGGGCUGGAACAGUUCAACACGACUGGUCCAAAGGACAGCAUUGAAAUACAAGAAAAGGAUCUUGGCGCAUCCUGCCCUCCCCCAUCCACCACCCUCAAACAAGUCAGUUACCCGGCUGGUCCCCACCCCCCUCUGCGGGCCGCCACCGCCCGCCUGGGCCCGGCUCGAAGUAGGGCCUCCCGUCGGGGCUGCAAGUCACGUGCCUGAAAUGGAGCCGGACUCAGCAGCUUUUACCGCCCCCCCACGACUCCUGGCGGUCGGCAGCGACUACAUUUCCUAGCAUGCCAGGCUCCGGCCAGAGGAGCUGUCCACGCCCAGGGAGAGCGAGGAGCAUGCCGGGAGCGCUGUGCGCGCGACUUUCGGCGCGGCGCUCCGAGGGCGGCCGCUGGCGGGGGGAGAGGGAGAAGCCUCCCUGGAGACCGCACCUGGCGCCUCUCGGGAGGGCGCGGGGCUCCCGGGAGGCGCGCCUGGCCCCUCGCAGCCUAGAAAAUUAGAGAGCUGCCUCGCGUGCUUUGCUGCUCCCCGAAUAGCAGCCACCCUCAAGCGCUCUUCCUUGUUCUCCCUCGGUUUUAUAAAUAGCAGUUUUCCACUCCACAUGUACAUAUGUAUGUAUGUAUGUGAUACCCAUGUUUAUGUGUUAUUACCUGUUGUCCUGGCUCUAAAAUUAGAUUCAAUGAGAGCAGAGACUUUGGGUGGGUUUAGUGAUGAAUCCCUCGAGUCAAAACUGUCUGGCACCUCAUAGGAAUUCAAUAAAUACUUAAGGAACAAAAUAGCACUCUGGUGUCACGCGGUUUCUUCAUCACCCUCCCAAGCUGUGUUCUGCAGCCUUCACGCUGGCUGUGCCUGUAUAUUUUGUGUGUUGAACUUUUCGUUCCACUAUCACACCUACUCUUAACCUUGAGAUAGCCUUUGGGCCCUCGUCC